GAUGAACGCUGGCGGCGUGCUUAACACAUGCAAGUCGAACGAUGAAGCCCAGCUUGCUGGGUGGAUUAGUGGCGAACGGGUGAGUAACACGUGAGUAACCUGCCCUUGACUCUGGGAUAAGCGCUGGAAACGGCGUCUAAUACCGGAUACGAGCUUCCACCGCAUGGUGAGUUGCUGGAAAGAAUUUCGGUCAAGGAUGGACUCGCGGCCUAUCAGGUAGUUGGUGAGGUAACGGCUCACCAAGCCGACGACGGGUAGCCGGCCUGAGAGGGUGACCGGCCACACUGGGACUGAGACACGGCCCAGACUCCUACGGGAGGCAGCAGUGGGGAAUAUUGCACAAUGGGCGCAAGCCUGAUGCAGCAACGCCGCGUGAGGGACGAAGGCCUUCGGGUCGUAAACCUCUUUUAGCAGGGAAGAAGCGAAAGUGACGGUACCUGCGGAAAAAGCACCGGCUAACUACGUG
rnacentral:rRNA from 1 species